ensembl:lncRNA
AUGGUAAUCCAGCUCAGUGCAAGGGAUUUCUUCUCCAAUGCACCCUGUUCGUUAACCAACAACCAGCUCUGUAUGCAACAGAUGAGGAUUUCCUUUGGUUGUUCACUCCUCACUGGUAGAGCACUGGAAUGGAUGACGGCAGUAUGGAGAGGGGACAGAUCUCAGUUUCCCACAAUCAUGAUCUUCCGUCAACAUUUCUGGAAGGUCUUUGAUCACUCAAGGGAUGGUCGGAGUACAGAUAAGCAGUGGCUAACACUGACUCAGGGAAGGAGAACUGCAGCCAAAUAUGCUUUGGCCUUUCGCACGCUUGCAGCUCAAACAACCUGGACCAAGGAUCCUCUGAAGGUACAUUUCAGGAAGGGUCUAAGUCACGAAUUACAGACAGAAUUAUCGUGCCGAGAUGAGGGGAGAACUUUAAAUCAGUUUAUUGAGCUCUCUAUUCAGAUUGACAGUCUUCUCAGAUCUCGCUGCCCCUCGUCAGGGAGAACUACAAUGACUGUUUCUGAUAACCACAAACCUAUGCAAGUCGAUACCUACCACCUCUCACCUGAGGAGAGAGAUAGUCACAUUAACCAUCGUCUAUGUCUAUAUUGUGGUGAGCCAGGCCACAUGAGAUUGUCAUGCCCCUCUCGUUCUAACCAAGACCCUGCUACUCGGGUGAGUGUCCCCAUUCUAACAAACAUCUCUUGGCAGGAUUCUCAGAUAACACGCUGGAGUAAUAACUGUUUUCCCCAUUGUAUUCCCAGCAUCACUCCCCUUCAUCUUCUAACGGUGGGCGUUACAGAGACUGACUACCCGGGGUUGCCCAGUGUUUAUCAUGAUCUAAGUGAAGCAUUCAGCAAGACCAAGGCCUCAAAACUGCCCCCUCACAGACCCUCACACUGCGCUAUUGACCUUCUGCCUGGCUUUAGUCCUCCUAAGGGCUGUAUAUUUCCUCUAUCACAACCGGAAUCCGAAGCCAUGAACAACUACAUUCAAAAGGAACUGGCUAAGGGCUUUGUCCAACCCUCGACCUCACCAGCGUCAGCAGGUCCCUUCUUCUUGAAGAAGGAAGGGGGGUUCCAUCCCUGCAUCAAUUACUGUAGCCUCAAUGAAAUGACUGUCAAAUUCUGUUACCCACUACCCUUAGUACCCUCUGUACCGAAACAAUUGAGAACUGCGAGAUUCUUCACCAAGCUGGAUUUGUGCAGUGCUUACAAUCUCAUUCGGAUUCGGGCAGGUGAUAAAUGGAAAACUGCCUUUUCCACAACCACUGGGUACUAUGAAUAUCGGGUUAUGCCCUUCAGCCUUGUAAACAGUCCCUCUAUCUUCCAGUCAUUCAUCAAUGAUGUGUUCAGGGAUAUGCUCAACAGAAGUGUCAUCGUAUACAUUGACGAUAUCCUGAUCUAUUAUUUUUUAGAAAUUAUGAUGUUGGUGACAGGGAAUUAUAAGGCAUUAAGGCUGCACUAG